AACUACUUGGGGUCUGGAGAGGAGGAGGAGAGAAAGGGGGGGAAACCAGCCUGAGAGAAAGAGUGAGAGAGGGAGGGAGUUCUGGCGUGGGUGAGGAGUGAGUGAGUGGGCUGUUUGAGAGAGUGAGUGAGAGUGAAAGACGCUGAGAUGAGGGUUUGGACUGUUGUGGGCUGAGGAAAAGGCUGGUGGACAGGGCUGUGAGGUAGGAUGGGAGGGUCUGGUAGGGUCUUCCGUGAGAGAGGAUGGACUGUUUGAGAGACUGAGUGAGAGUGAAAGACGCUGAGAUGAGGGUUUGGACUGUUGUGGGCUGACGAAAGGGCUGGUGGACUGGGCUGUGAGGUAUGAUGGAAGGGUUUGUUAGGGUCUGCCACGGGGAAGAAUGGGCUGUUUGAGAGAGUAAGUAAAAGGGGCCGAGAUGAGGGUUUGGACUGUUGUGGACUGAGGAAAGGGCUGGUGUACUGGGCUGUGAGGUAGGAAGUACGGGGCUGGUAGAGGGUACAGCCAUAGGGAAGAAAGGGCUGCUGUGAAGUGGUAUAUGAGAGGACACAAAACACAAGAGCUGGAAAGUAUCUGGAAUUAAUGAUCUAGGUUUCCCCUUCUAUAAGUUGCAGCUCGUUAUUUUUUUCUUUUGGGGGCUUUAGAAAAAAGAUCAAAGACAGAAUCUGCACAUUACCAUAUACUUUUUUUCUUGUGUCCUUGUCAAGGGUAGAAAAAAAUGGUAUAAUGGGUGGAAUGGCUGGGAGGGCGUGGGCAAAGGUUGUGAAUGGAAUUAAAAGAAGGGAAGGAAGAGCUGCUUUGAAGGGAGUAAGAGGGAAGGAAGGGAAGGAAAGGCUAAGAUCGUAAAUGGGAAUAAAGGAUUGGAAGAGAGGAAAGGAAUGGGUGCCAUGAAUGGAGUAGGCGGGAUGGAGUGGGUAGAACUGCUGGGAGGGAGGUUGGCAAAGAGUGAGCAGGAAUAAAGGGAGCAAUCAGGUCAGGGUGAACUGUUAUGGGAGGGAGAAGCACAAGGCCGUGAUCCCGCCACUCUGGACGCCCACGGAACGUCUAAUCUGGCCGAGAGCAGCACAGUUAUUGGCGAGGAGACCGCCGGGCCAUUCUCGACGUAAUCUUCUUCAGUGGUUCGGCGUUCUGCUUUCUCGGGCGUUCCUCCAGAUGACGUUCAGGGUUGGCUUUUUUUUGUGCUCAUUUAUUUUUUACCUUUAGCUGCUUCCUUCACUGUAAAAAAUAUAUAUAUUUAAACUUAUCGGGCUCGCAUUACGACUAUCUUUCAAGGCUACAGAGAAGAUUAACCGGGUUUUUAUGGGUUACUUUCCCGUUUAUGUUGUGUCACUCAGGUAAAACUAUCACUAGGACCACAAAAAGUCCAUGGAAAUCCGAGCGACUUCUACGAGAGGAUUUUUAGACAAGCAAAUUUAGGUGCCGAUGAGUUAAGGAAUACAGGCCUUUCAAACAGACGAACUGACGUGCCGAUAUGUUUGGGAAUACGGGAUUUUCAGACAAGCGAUCUUAGGUGCCGAUAUGUUUAGGAAUACGGGAUUUUCAGACAAGCGAUCUUAGGUGCCGAUAUGUUUGGGAAUACGGGAUUUUCAGACAAGCGAUCUUAGGUGCCGAUAUGUUUAGGAAUACGGGAUUUUCAGACAAGCGAUCAUAGGUGCCGAUAUGUUUGGGAAUACGGGAAUAGGCUUGGUUGUCUCCCGUCCAUGAAAGACUAUGGGUCGUAUUAUAAGACAUUUCGCCGCCCAAGAACACCUAUUUGACAAGGCUUUCGUAGGAGUUAAGUGCAUUUCCAAGGGUAGUUUUAUGACCCUGGUGGUAGUUUGACCCUUCCUCUGUACCGUGAACCUGAAGAAACACUCAUUAGAACCCGACUGACCCCCUCUUUGACCUUUAGAAAUAGCUGGUGUGAGAGGCCAAAGUGUCUUACAAUAUUGACCUAUAACUCCCAAAGAACGUGAUGGAAGAAGCCCUCGAGUGACUUACCCUUCUUUCCCUGCACUUAAGAAUCCUACUGUUUGAUUGAUCCUGAUUGACUGAUACAGAGAGCAAUUCUAAGCUGGUUCA